CUCCCAGAAGAAAUACAAUGUGAAGACACACAGGGAGAAGAUGGCCUUGUGACCAGGGAGAUGCAUCUACAGACCAACAAAUGCCAAGGAUUGCCAGAGAACAGAAAAAGCUGGAAGAAUCAAGGAAGGAUUCUCCCCUGGAGCCAUCAGAGAGAGCAUGCCCUGAUAUCACCUUGAUUCUUCACUUCUACCUUUCAGAAUUAAGGAAGCCAGCUGCCAUGCUUUGAGCUGCUCUAUGGAAAGGCACAUUUGGCAAGGAACUGAUGCCUCCAGUCAACAGCCAGCCAGGACUUGAGACCAGUGCAGGUGGCAUAAUGACCAGCGGUGACUUGAAUGACAAGGGGACAGAACAGCUGGACAAUCCAAUUCCUAGAUGCUUUCUCCAGUUAUGGCCCUGACUGGGAUCUCCGAAGAAUGACUCAGCUGAAACUGUCAGUGAGGAUGCUUACCUGUGGUCUCCCCAUCAUGGUGGUAUCAGGGUUGUUGAACACCUUACAUGGCUCCAAAAGCAAGUGUUCUGGAAUGUAAGGCAACAGCUGUGUGGUCUUUCAUAAUCCAGCAUCAGAAGUCACAUGGCAUCACUCCUGCUAAAAUUUCUUUGUGGAAGCAGCCACAAAACUGCCCAAAUUCAAGUAGAGGGCACACAGAUCUUAUUUUUUGAUGGGAGGACUCACAAAAAUUUUGCCACCAUAUUAUAAAAACACUAUAAGAUCUAAUAGUAACUUUAACUUUUUUUAACCAAUCCUUCUAUUUUCAGCCCAGACUUCACUUCCUUAUUCAGAUGUAUAAAUGUCUUCUGUGGCUUUGUGAUCAAAUCUGAAUGUUUCUUGGAUUUACCCCUGCCAGCUAAGGAUUUGGCCUUCUUUGAUCUGUUAAAUCAGUUCUCAAACACUGACUUGUUUUCCAUCUAAAAUAUCAGGGUGACCUUUAUCCCAUUCUCAUUGCUUUGAGGAUUUUGUGCCCCCUUUUUUAAAGUCACUUUCUAUGUAUUUUUAUAUGAGUGAGGUUUUGGGAGAAAGUACAGAUAAAUAUAUAUUCUCAAUCUACCACUUUAAUUGAAAAUUCUUGUUUUUUCUUUUACAAAAUUCCUAAUGUUUGCCUAACAAACAUUUAUUGAGAAACUGCUGUAUUUUCAGUAUGUGUUAAGGUCUGUGUACAUCUAUUUUAUAUACAUUAUCUUAUUUAAUAUGCUCAUUUAAUUUCCACAUCUUGUUUAACAUUUAUAAUCUUUUGAUUUGUUAAAUACAAUUUGUAGAAGACCAUUGGUUUAGCGUGAGCUGCACCAGGCCUGGCAGACCAAACCAAAAUGUAGUAUCUCAUACUAAAGUUCCAUGCCACCAAGCUGAAACUAAGUUGUUUAUCUGACUUUCCAAGAAGUCAGGAGAAAGAGAUAACAGUCAAAUCCCCAAAUAUGCUAGUUUGAGUUGGCAUGAUAGGAAAGUUCCUUCCACUUUAGCCUUUAUACGAAAGUAACUUUGGAAUGAUCAGUCUGCUUUUUGUUUCCUGUUUCUGUUUCAGCACUUUUUGUAAAGCCAACUUCUUCUCAGCACAUCAGAACACUCAUUCUACUUUAUAGAAUGAGGUAUAAUCUGAAUCUAAAAUCACAAAUAAAAGCCAAUUAAGAUUUUUAAAGUAAGUUUGUUGUAAUUUUGUCUUUUGACAGAUUUCAUCAUUGCCUACAUUUGUCUUCAGACGACCUGCAGUACAAACUUGGCUUAAACCUGCAGUUGACAAUGGUAACAGGAAUCUUAUUUUAAAAAAUAAUAUGCGCCACCAGCUAAGUUGGUCAUGAUGAGGUCUGGGCCUUGAUAGCCUUCUGGGUUUUAAUUCACACAAUAUGUUUGAAAAAAGAAAAAUCAAAGUAACUGUAAUUUUUUUGUAAAGCAAAAUACUUUUUAAAAGCCAUGAGGCACGUGUUACUCAAAGGGCUCCUUGGAUGAAUUAUUUUGUAAGGCAAAUGAUUUGUUAUAGUUCCAAUGACAUCUAAAUUUGCCAGUUGUAAAUACUGGAAUUUUUGGUCCUUGCAUUGAACUUACUGGUAUUGAUGUGCUAUAUAACUAAAUGUCUUCUAAAAGGAUUCACCGUGGGAGAAUAAAUUACAAUGGAUAAAAAACAGCAUUACAAUCCCUCAAUAAAAUGGGAUUUUAACAGACAAAGGUGAGUCAGUGGUGAAAGGCAGGAGAAGAUACAACAGGUAAGUGUCUGACUUCAGGCUGGAGCCCUAAUAUAAUAAUAAGUCCUUCUUGUAUUGUAAUCUCUUACAGCUGAAUCUCCAUGUGCUCUCUCUCUCUUCUAACAUCAAUGCAGCUCCUGGUAUGUGGUCGUUCUCAGGCCCAAAGGCCCAUUUUGCUUUUGGCUGCAACUCUGUAACUCUGUAACAGAGACCAAGUGCCUGCAGGGAGCAGAUGUUUGGGGCAGUAUCUGCUAAGGUGGCUUUGCUGAAACUUGUUUCUCUCAUUGGGUCUUGGAAGUGGCGAAUAGGACGUUCCUAUAGAAAAACUCAGAAAGAUAAUGAAGCUGCUAUUUGCAAGAACUGCAUCUGUCUGACUCUCAGACAGAUCUACACCAGUGUUUAGCAGACAUGCCAAAUGAUAAGAGUCAAUCACAGCCUCUGUAGAAAAUACUGGAACCCUGAUGUGGACUUACUGAAUCAGAAUCUCCAGGCAAUAAGCUUGAGAUUCUCUGGUUUGUAAAGCCAACCAAGUGAU
rnacentral:lncRNA from 1 species